rnacentral:rRNA from 1 species
UACGAAGGGGGCUAGCGUUGCUCGGAAUUACUGGGCGUAAAGGGAGCGUAGGCGGAUAGUUAAGUUGGGGGUGAAAGCCCGGGGCUCAACCUCGGAAUUGCCUUCAAUACUGGCUAUCUAGAGUAUGGGAGAGGUGUGUGGAACUCCGAGUGUAGAGGUGAAAUUCGUAGAUAUUCGGAAAAACACCAGUGGCGAAGGCGACACACUGGCCCAUUACUGACGCUGAGUCUCGAAAGCGUGGGGAGCAAACAGG